rnacentral:lncRNA from 1 species
UGGAACAUGUUGGAUACCUCUGAGGUCUCUGCCAGUGUAGACAACUCCAUUGCCCAGUGUGGACAUGCCCUGUGACAGUGGGACACAUCCAAAUGCUUAUAUCAUCUCUUAUUCCCUGGAGUAUGCUGUGCCAUAAGCCUUCAAUUUAUCUGCUACUUCAAGAUUAGAUUUAGGCUGCAGAAGGCUGUUCUGUGUUUCACCUUUGUUGCUGCUUCACAAGUGCAGUGGGACAGCUUUCCCUUCCAGACCUGGCUCUCUUAUAGCGUAUUCCCAGGGUGCCACUUGAGGCGUGUCACAGAAAAGUCUCA